rnacentral:rRNA from 1 species
UACGGAGGGAGCUAGCGUUGUUCGGAAUUACUGGGCGUAAAGCGCGUGUAGGCGGUCCUGCAAGUCGGGUGUGAAAUCCCACGGCUCAACCGUGGAAGUGCACUCGAAACUGCAGGGCUAGAGUCCUGGAGAGGAAGGUGGAAUGCUUGGUGUAGAGGUGAAAUUCGUAGAUAUCAAGCGGAACACCGGUGGCGAAGGCGGCCUUCUGGACAGUGACUGACGCUGAGACGGCGAAAAGCGUGGGGAGCAAACAGGG